ACUAGCAGUAAGAGUUUGAUCCUGGCUCAGAACGAACGCUGGCGGCAUGCCUAACACAUGCAAGUCGAGCGCCCCGCAAGGGGAGCGGCAGACGGGAGAGUAACACGUGGGAACGUACCCUUCAGUACGGAACAACCAAGGGAAACUUUGGCUAAUACCGUAUGCGUCCGUAAGGAGAAAGAUUUAUCGCUGAAGGAUCGGCCCGCGUCUGAUUAGCUAGUUGGUGAGGUAACGGCUCACCAAGGCGACGAUCAGUAGCUGGUCUGAGAGGAUGAUCAGCCUCACUGGGACUGAGACACGGCCCAGACUCCUACGGGAGGCAGCAGUGGGGAAUCUUGGACAAUGGGCGCAAGCCUGAUCCAGCCAUGCCGCGUGAGUGAAGAAGGCCUUAGGGUUGUAAAGCUCUUUACCCGGGAUGAUAAUGACAGUACCGGGAGAAUAAGCCCCGGCUAACUCCGUGCCAGCCGCCGCGGUAAUUC
rnacentral:rRNA from 1 species